rnacentral:rRNA from 1 species
AUGGCAGCCCUCGCCUCCCUUCUCCGCCGCCGCAGCAGCCGCCGCGCCGACUACGACGCCGACCGCGCCGUCUCCCUCCUCGAGGCCAUCGACACUGCCUCCCUCUCCGCCGGCUCUACGCGCCAUGCGCUCUCCCUUGCCGCACGCCGCCUCACCCGCGCCGGACGGCAUGCUGAUGCCGAGGCGCUCCUCUCCUCCCACAUCCCAGCUUCCCCAACCGAGCCGCAUCUCUCGGCCAUCCUCUGCUCAUACGCCUCCGCCGGCCUCCCCGAGAAGGCCCUCGAAGCCUUCCGCUCCGCCGCGCCGUCCCUCCCGUCCCCCAUCUCCCCGAUGCCCUUCAACGCCCUCCUAUCGGCCUUCGUCCGGUGCUGCCGCCACCGCCGCGUCCCGGUCAAGGAGUUCUCCAUCACCCCCAACGCCACCUCCUACGCCAUACUGGUGAAGGCUCACUGUAUGGUCCGCCAUGACGCCAAGGCUCACGAAGUGAUAGCCCGGAUGCGUGAGGAAGGUAUCUCGCCGACCACCACCAUCUACACCACAAUGAUUGAUUCCAUGUAUAAGCAGAAGAAGGUAGAGGAGGCCCAGACUUUGUGGAAGCAGAUGCUGGAAAGCGGAUGCAAGCCAGACCAUGCAACAUAUAAUGUGAAGGCCAUGCACCACGGACUCAAUGGCAAGCCGGAAGGUGUUCUCCAGGUGAUGGUGGAAAUGGAGGCCGAUGGAGUAAAGCCAGACACCAUCACCUACAAUUUCCUCAUGACUGCCUAUUGCAAAGAUGGAAAGAUGGAGGAUGCCAAGGCGCUGUACCGUUCGCUAGGUGACAAAGGGUGCUCAGCGAAUGCAGCCACAUAUAAGCACAUGCUUGCAGCGCUGGAGGCGAAGGAGGUUAUUUACGUGGUGACGAAGAAGUUCCCUGACACUAUGCUGUCUGGGUGGAAGAAGCUGGAAAAGGAGCUUGGGUUCUGCUCGGAUAGCGGAGAUACAACCCCUCACGCAGAAUGUACAGCUGAAGAACCAGUCUCUGAGUCUGAACCUGCUACCACCGAGGCACUUGAACUCAAAGAUUCUGCUGCUGAGGAAACGGGUGUGUCAGAAGAAUAUGAUGGUGAUGAAACGCCUUCACCUGAGACAUCCACUGAUGAGGAAGUGCCGAGGGGUCCUGCUUAA